rnacentral:lncRNA from 1 species
CACUGAGUGCUUACCUGUCUAUAAGCAUUUCUUAUCCAUGAUACCCCAGAAAGGAUAAAAUUUUUUCUCUAUAAUAAGUAGGUGCCCCGGACAUGGUCUUUCUGUUCGAAACUUGUAUCUCCACGG